rnacentral:snRNA from 1 species
GGAUGUGAGGGCAAUCUGUCUGCAACAUGUCACCCCAUUGAUCACCAGGGUUGCAGAUUCUGCUGAUAUGGCUGGCUAGGUGGGUGUCCCCUUCCUCCCUCACUGCUCCAUGUGUACCCUCCUGAAGCUGCGCACUCAGUCAAAGAGUAUGACCAUCCCUGAUAGAGGAGGACCAUUUUUUGGUCAAGGGUAUAUGAGUAGCUGCAUUCCCCUGCUAGAACCUCCAGAAAGCUCUCAAGUAUAUUUAAUUGAAUCACAGAAAAUUUUGUGU